UGACGAUUGUGACUGAGUGGCGGACGGGUGAGUAACGCGUGGGUAGCCUGCCUUGUACAGGGGGACAACAGUUGGAAACGACUGCUAAUACCGCAUAAGCGCACAGUACCGCAUGGUACAGUGUGAAAAGAUUUUUUCGGUACAAGAUGGACCCGCGUCUGAUUAGGCUAGGUUGGUGAGGUAACGGCCACCAAGGCGACGAUCAGUAGCCGACCUGAGAGGGUGACCGGCCACAUUCGGGACUGAGACACGGCCCAAACUCCUACGGGAGGCAGCAGUGGGGAAUAUUGCACAAUGGGCGAAAGCCUGAUGCAGCGAACCGCCGCGUGAGCGAAGAAGUAUUUCGGUAUGUAAAGCUCUAUCAGCAGGGAAGAUAAUGACGGUACCUGACUAAGAAGCACCGGCUAAAUACGUGCCAGCAGCGGC
rnacentral:rRNA from 1 species